rnacentral:rRNA from 1 species
CCCUAUUAUUUUGGAGCGUUAAUUUUUGUGUCUGAGUAGUAUUAGUUAUGUUCUUGAAACUUAAAGAAUUUGGCGGUAUCUUAUUCCGUUCAGAGGAAUCUGUCUCGUUAUCGAUAGUCCGCGUUGGACCUUACUUAGUUUAUUUGGUUUGUAUACCGCCGUUUAUUGAUUAUCUUUUUAGAGUUUAUUUAAUUUUCUGGUUUCUUUAUUUUGAUUUAUUUCAGGUCAAGGUGCAGCUUGUUUCUAAGUGGAAUGAUGGAUUACAUUGUUAUUUGUUUUUGGAUUGUUGGUUUUAAUAUUGGCAUGAAAUUGGAUUUGGUUGUAAUGUUUUGUAGAUUGUUUUCGUGAUAAUUGGUUCUGGGAUAUGUACACAUCGCCCGUCGCUCUCGUUUGUUUAUUAAUGAGAUAAGUC